UACGGGGGGAGCAAGCGUUGUUCGGAUUUACUGGGCGUAAAGGGCGCGUAGGCGGUCAGCACAAGUCUGAUGUGAAAUCUCCGAGCUCAACUCGGAAAUGGCAUUGGAAACUACCUUGCUAGAGGGUUGGAGGGGGGACUGGAAUACUUGGUGUAGCAGUGAAAUGCGUAGAUAUCAAGUGGAACACCAGUGGCGAAGGCGAGUCCCUGGACAACUCCUGACACUGAGGCACGAAAGCUAGGGGAGCAAACAGG
rnacentral:rRNA from 1 species